rnacentral:rRNA from 1 species
AGCGGCGGACGGGUGAGUAACACGUGGGUAACCUGCCCAAGAGACUGGGAUAACACCUGGAAACAGAUGCUAAUACCGGAUAACAACACUAGACGCAUGUCUAGAGUUUGAAAGAUGGUUCUGCUAUCACUCUUGGAUGGACCUGCGGUGCAUUAGCUAGUUGGUAAGGUAACGGCUUACCAAGGCAAUGAUGCAUAGCCGAGUUGAGAGACUGAUCGGCCACAUUGGGACUGAGACACGGCCCAAACUCCUACGGGAGGCAGCAGUAGGGAAUCUUCCACAAUGGACGAAAGUCUGAUGGAGCAACGCCGCGUGAGUGAAGAAGGGUUUCGGCUCGUAAAGCUCUGUUGGUAGUGAAGAAAGAUAGAGGUAGUAACUGGCCUUUAUUCGACGGUAAUUACUUAGAAAGUCACGGCUAACUACGUGCCAGCAGCCGCGGUAAUACGUAGGUGGCAAGCGUUGUCCGGAUUUAUUGGGCGUAAAGCGAGUGCAGGCGGUUCAAUAAGUCUGAUGUGAAAGCCUUCGGCUCAACCGGAGAAUUGCAUCAGAAACUGUUGAACUUGAGUGCAGAAGAGGAGAGUGGAACUCCAUGUGUAGCGGUGGAAUGCGUGGAUAUAUGGAAGAACACCAGUGGCGAAGGCGGCUCUCUGGUCAGCAACUGACGCUGAGGCUCGAAAGCAUGGGUAGCGAACAGGAUUAGAUACCCUGGUAGUCUAUGCCGUAAACGAUGAGUGCUAAGUGU